rnacentral:rRNA from 1 species
AUGCGAUACUUGGUGUGAAUUGCAGAAUCCCGUGAACCAUCGAGUCUUUGAACGCAAGUUGCGCCCUAGGCCAUUAGGCUGAGGGCACGCCUGCCUGGGCGUCACGC